GGUCUGUAGUGCUGAGCUCCAGCCAAGGUACCAGGUGCCUUUCAACAGGUCUGGUCCAACGGUGAGCAAAGCCCACUCAGGGCAGACUGAGGCGGGG